rnacentral:tRNA from 1 species
GGUGAGGUGUCCGAGUGGUCGAAGGAGCAUGCCUGGAAAGUAUGUAAGUCGUAAGGGUUCGAAUCCCUCCCUCACCGCCA